AUUGAACGCUGGCGGCAGGCCUAACACAUGCAAGUCGAGCGGAUGAAGGGAGCUUGCUCCUGGCUUCAGCGGCGGACGGGUGAGUAAUGCCUAGGAAUCUGCCUGGUAGUGGGGGAUAACGUCCGUACACGGGCGCUAAUACCGCAUACGUCCUGAUGGAGAACGUGGGGGAUCUUCGGACCUCACGCUAUCAGAUGAGCCUAGGUCGGAUUAGCUAGUUGGUUUGGUAAGGGCCUACCAAGGCGACGAUCCGUAACUGGUCUGAGAGGAUGAUCAGUCACACUGGAACUGAGACACGGUCCAGACUCCUACGGGAGGCAGCAGUAGGGAAUAUUCGGCAAUGGGCGAAAGCCUGACCGAGCAAUGCCGCGUGUGUGAAGAAGGUCUUCGGAUUGUAAAGCACUUUAAGUUGGGAGGAAGGGAAGUAAGUGAAUACCUUCCUGUUUUGACGUUACCAAAAGAAUAAGCAACGGCUAACUACGUG
rnacentral:rRNA from 1 species